GCGAGGGUGGCGGAACUGGUAGACGCACUAGACUUAGGAUCUAGCGGGUAACCGUGGGGGUUCGAGUCCCCCUUCUCGCACCA
rnacentral:tRNA from 1 species